rnacentral:rRNA from 1 species
AAUCAACGCUGGCGGCGUGCCUCAGACAUGCAAGUCGAACGAUUAAAGCUCUCUUCGGAGAGUGCAUAGAGUGGCGCACGGGUGAGUAACACGUAAGUAAUCUACCUUCGAGUGGGGAAUAACGUCCGGAAACGGACGCUAAUACCGCAUAAUGCAGCGGCAUCGCAAGAUGACAGUUGUUAAAGGAGCAAUUCGCUUGAAGAGGAGCUUGCGGCAGAUUAGCUAGUUGGUAAGGUAACGGCCACCAAGGCGACGAUCCGUAGCUGGUCUGAGAGGACGAUCAGCCACACUGGGACUGAGACACGGCCCAGACUCCUACGGGAGGCAGCAGUAGGGAAUCUUGCGC